rnacentral:miRNA from 1 species
AAGACGCUGGUUCUCUUCACACA